rnacentral:RNase_P_RNA from 1 species
AAGAUCAGUCGGACGGUCGCGCUUUAGUAGCUUUUUGUUGCUAAAUCGAGGAAAGUCCGGGCUCCGUGGGAAAGGCUGCCAGGUAACGCCUGGGCGUGACCGCCUCUGGUUGCGACGGCAAGUGCCACAGAAAACAAACCGCCUUCGUGAGAAGGUAAGGGUGAAAAGGUGGGGUAAGAGCCCACCGCACGCGUGGCAACACGCGUGGCUCGGUAAACCCCAGCUGGAGCAAGGCCAAGCAUGCGGCGAGAGUAACCCACCUCGCUAAAGACGCCGCGGGUAGGCUGCUGGAGAGUACGAGCGAUCGUGCUCCGAGAGAAAUGACCGUCACGAGGGCCUUAACAACCUUCGGACAGAACCCGGCUUAUAGACUGAUCGCUUGA